rnacentral:tRNA from 1 species
GGGUCGGUGCCCGAGAGGUUAAAGGGGGCGGACUGUAAAUCCGCUGGUCACACCUACGUUGGUUCAAAUCCAACCCGGCCCA